AAUAAGAAGCAAAAAUUUUUGCAAUUAGUUUCGACCUAAUAGAUUGAUAUUAAUUUAUCCUUAUUU
rnacentral:tRNA from 1 species